rnacentral:lncRNA from 1 species
GUAAAUCAGUGUAACUUGCAGGAGAGCAUGCCACCACACCCCGAUGGCCAGCCCGUCCUCUGUCCCAAUCAAUGCAGUGCCCACCGCUCCCCUCUUCUCACUCCCCAAGAGAUCCUGAAAGAGGAUUUGUCCAGGAACGCCACAGCCCCGCAGCGUGCUGACUUCAUAAAGAGACGAGGAAUCAUCUGGGCCAAGGUACCACCUUUCUGCACACGCCGUUUAUGUAACCCAGCAGGCUAGACCGCCGGGAUAUUUUAUGAAGACUUCAUGGACCCAGGCCCAGGUGGGCUGGCUGCCCAGGGAAAAAGGCACUGGGAGGUCAAGACCGAGUGACCUCAGAUAAUCUGCGCGCAUCCUUGGGCAGGGGACGAACGAGAACUGGGGGGAGUCAAGAAUAGAGCGGCCCAGUGUUUCGUCGGUUCGAAUCCUGGGCGCGGACAUGGCACUGCUCGUCAGACCACGCUGAGGCAGCGUCCCACAUGCCACAACUAGAGGAACCCACAACGAAGAAUACACAACUAUGUACCGGGGGGCUUUGGGGAGAAAAAGGAAAAAAUAAAAUCUUUAAAAAAAAUAAAAAAUAAAAAAAAUAAAAAAUAAAAAAAAUCAAUGUGGGGGGACUUGAUCAGCUCUCUAGCCCUCUAGAAGGCUGCAAAAGAUUUGGGAGAUUCGCUGAGAGAUUUCCAACUUCCCUGGCCCCGUGAAGGGGUAGCAAGCUCUCCACCAGUACAGACUCAGGCGUUGGAGAAAGACAGGAGCCUAGUGUGGGAAAAACAGGAUAUUGGGGGUAACAGGUGACCCCUCCCAGCAGCUUCCAUGGCCAAGAGCAGCCCACACUCCUGGCACGAAGACCCUCCAG